ACAUAGAAAGCCUUAUUGCUCCCUGUUUUCUUAUUUUGGGAAAUUAGGGUUGGAAUUAGGCAGCGGCCAGACAACCGUAGGGAUGGUAUCCACAGAUGGCGAGUGAUUGAUAUCGCUUAUCUACUAAAUCCCAUCUCACAUUU
rfam:Jatropha curcas cultivar GZQX0401 scaffold11_217, whole genome shotgun sequence.